UACGUAGGGGGCUAGCGUUGUCCGGAAUCAUUGGGCGUAAAGCGCGUGUAGGCGGUCCGGUAAGUCCGCUGUGAAAGUCGGGGGCUCAACCCUCGGAUGCCCGGUGGAUACUGCCGGGCUAGAGGACGGUAGAGGCGAGUGGAAUUCCCGGUGUAGCGGUGAAAUGCGCAGAUAUCGGGAGAACACCUGUGGCGAAGGCGGCUCUCUGGGACGGUACUGACGCUGAGACGCGAAGCGUGGGGAGCAAACAGG
rnacentral:rRNA from 1 species